CUUGGACAGAAGACGCUGAGCAUUUUUUCAGGAAGUGGUCACCCCAGUGGUCCCCGGCUUUCUCAGACUUCCUGCAGCUCUCUACACAGUGAAUCACAGUGAGACACUGGCAGCAGGCACCACGGAAGGGACCCUCAAAUCUGAAGGCUCAAGGUCCUGGGAAAAGAUGAAGUGGAGCAUGCCUCUUGUUUCCUCCUAUUAGAUGCUGAGUGUUGGAAGUUCUUCCUAGGAUUCACAAAGAAACUCCUGCUCUUCUUCCACAUACUUUUUCCUGGGAAAGAAAACUUGUUUCACUGGCAGAAAAGAUCCCCACUGUUAAAGUGAGGUAAAGAAGAUUCUUGCUUCCUCUUUACGCGUCCGCCAUGAUUGUAAGUUUCCUGAGGCUUCCCCAGCCAUGCUGAACUGGUCUUAGAUACAUGAUGGCACUGUUGGCUUCCUGAAGACCUCUUCAUCCUGCAGAAGGUGCAACUCCACAGCAUCCUGAGAGGUUGGACACAAGCUGCUGGGAGCACAAAGGAACCCUGCCUGCCAGGCUUGAGUGUCAGAAUCUGGGCUUUCACCUGCAGGGACCUCAGGCCUCCAUCAGCCAGGCUUGGAAAGAAUGAAUGGUGCCUCUCGGUGAAUUACUACAACCUGAAUCCUGUGACCCCACCUGUGAUGGCCCAAUGUUAUUGAAAUUACUGACUCCAUCCACUUAGCAAGUGGUAAAUACUCUGCAGGCAUAGAUUUGACUAAUGUGUUCUGUUCAGCGCCUAUUUCAACAGAUCUCAGCUGCAGGUUGCUUUCACCCCCGAAGGGACACAAUAGACCGUUAUCUGGCUACCACGGGGUACCUCGACAGUUCUGCCACCAUACACAAUCUUUGCAGGCAGGAUUUGAACUGCAUCUGAC
rnacentral:lncRNA from 10 species